rnacentral:rRNA from 1 species
AGGACGAACGCUGGCGGCGUGCCUAACACAUGCAAGUCGAGCGAGAAUCUUUAAAUUGAUUCCUUCGGGAUGAUUUUUAAAGAGGAAAGCGGCGACGGGUGAGUAACGCGUGAGUAACCUGCCUUCAGGAGGGGGACAACACUUCGAAAGGGGUGCUAAUACCGCAUAACAUUGUUUUAUCGCAUGGUAUUACAAUCAAAGAUUUAUCGCCUGAAGAUGGACUCGCGUCUGAUUAGAUAGUUGGUGGGGUAACGGCCUACCAAGUCGACGAUCAGUAGCCGAACUGAGAGGUUGAUCGGCCACAUUGGGACUGAGACACGGCCCAGACUCCUACGGGAGGCAGCAGUGGGGGAUAUUGCGCAAUGGGGGCAACCCUGACGCAGCAACGCCGCGUGAAGGAAGAAGGUUUUCGGAUCGUAAACUUCUUUAAGUGGGGAAGAUAGUGACGGUACCCACAGAAUAAGCCACGGCUAACUACGUG